CUUGAGGUCUGGGUAUUUUUGUGUCUUUUUCUAAUAUUUAUUAUUGGCACCAUAGGUAUAGGUGCAUUACCCAUUUUUCCUCGGUUGGUGAUAUAAUUGUGAGCUGCACAUAUUUCUUCCUCGUUUGUUUCCUAGUGAUUUAAUUUACAAAUUUGUUUAUUUUUCUGGCACCAGUUGAUUUUAAAAAAAGUUUUCCACGGGAGUACCCCUUUAAUGUUUUGGAAGCAGAAAAAAUUGGUAAAUUUAAGAAUCUUAACAACUUUGACAAGGACAAAACUGUGAUGGCUAGACAACUGGACCAAAACUCUUCAAAAUGGCAGGUCUUGUCUAAUAAUCUUGGCAUAUAGUGCUUAGUAUCUUAAAGUGUCCCUGUCAUUUGAAAAAUGACAUGUCACAGAGACAUGUUGGGUAUAAGAUGUGCUAGAAAAAAAAGGCCAAUCCAUGGAGGCCCACCAUGUAAUUUACAAAAGUAAAGAAUCUCCUGCUAACAAAUACGAAGGAGCAGCAAGUCUAUCGCAGAAUAAAAUGAGACAUGAUUAGUAAAUCUGAUCCUCUCUACUUCAGUACUAUUUUAUUUCUUUCAACCUGAAGGUAUUAUUCAGCAGUUUAUGUACUUAGGCAGGAAAUGUGAUAUAUACUGGAACAUAUUGGUUGUGCAUUGACCUUGAAUAGAUUUCUUUGACCUUGAUACAUGACAAAGGAUGGAUUUACCAAUAUAUAGAUUUAGAACAUACUACUAUUAUUUAUCUACACCAGUAAAUGGUGACCCUUUACCCUGCUUUUCUUGUGAAUGUGUAUCCAUUGGGAUUCAUUAAGCAUUUCAGGACAUGUGAUCCAUGAGCAUGGAAUCCCAUAGGCCCAUCUUAGAAUUAAGUUUUAUAUUAAUAUCUGUACAAGAUAUCCUAUAAAGCUAAUAAUAAAUAUACUGGAUACAUUCUUUUAGCGAGAAUAGGUCUUAGUUUAAUGGGGUUAUAGUGCAAAUAAAGAAUGCACUGUAAGUGCACAGUAGUGUUAAGCCUGUGCUCAAAGCACCACUACCUUAUAUGAACAUCUUAUAUACAGUACUUGUAUCGGAGCAAAAAUCGUAAAUUAUUUUCUUUUAUCUAUUUUUGUUUCAGUGUAAGGCUAUCUUCAAACCUUUUAAAGGCUUUUUUUUGCUUAAAAAAGAAGCUAAAAAUGUAAGUAUUUUUAAUAUGUAAAAUGCCAUUUGUAUUGUGCUUUGUUUAAAAAACAUCAACAAAAAACAAAAUAACCAAAAAAAAAACAAACAAAAAAAAAAAAAACAUUAUAAUAGCUGCAGCUUUUGUGGCAUAUUUUCUCCACAGUAUUUUCCCCAUAAAAAAAUCAUGUGAUUGAACGAUUACUGAACAAAGCACCUGAUCUGUUAUAUAAAAAAGGGCCACAAAAACAAUACCUAUUUAUACAUGUCCGUUUUUUAGCAGGACCAACCCAAAAAACCUAUGGAGGUCUAUGAAAAAAACUGCCACAAACUAAUGCAAAAAAGAAAAAGAAGAACAAGAUCUGGAAGUGUUCUACUGAGAGGACACAGAACGUUUCCGGGGAUACCUUUUUUCUAUGGCAGCACUGGCAGGACAUAGGACAUAGAACUCAUUCAUGGCAUGAUAUGCAUCUUUAAUUUGCCAAAAAAUCAGGAAGAAAGGGGAGAACAAAAUAGCAUGCCAACCAUAUGUUUUAUCACUAUUGAUUCUGUCGUGUGAUGAAAGUCUUUUAAAAAGGCUUUCCUAUAGGACAUGGAAAAUCCCAGAAAAACUCUUGUUACAAAUCUAAUGAACAGUAAACAUGCCAAACUAAAGGAAUUAAAGAACAAAUAAACUAUUUAAGAAAAAAAUAUUUUUUUCAGAUGUGUAUUUCAAAAUAAAUAAAUCUACAAAGACACAUCAUAAGACAGUGAAGGAGUCCUCAGAAAAGUAAUACUAUCAUUUCUUUAAUUGUAAUCAUCUACAUCAAGUACAGUAGAGGAAACUGGUAACCAGGGCAGAGGUGUAACAGAUGGGUAGAAAGAGAUGAGGGAUACAUAAUCGAUUGGAUCGGAGCAACGUCUGUUCAGUCAACAAGUGUAUAAUAAGUUACAAUACUAAUGGUAAGAAAUAAUGAGGUCCAGAGUUGGUGUUGCAGCAGUAUGACUGUUCUUUGCUCGGAUUGUUGUGAUGUUUGUUUUCUAUGAUUUUUUAUUUAUUUAAAUGUACAACAUUUAAGUACUAAAGACUUUCCCCAACACUGUCUUAGAAUAUAAUAUCUUUAUUGUCUUUAUUAUCUUUGCUGUCCAGGAGUAGUUCCCCAGCAUGGCAAGGGCCCAGGAUUAGCCAGCCCAUCUCCUCUUAAUCUCAGUCCUCAGCAGGCAUUGACUUCAGAACAGAGAAUGAGAAGAAAUGAACAGCAACCUCAAUCUGUGUUGUACUACUGGUAAGAAAUCCAUUGGACACCGGGAGACUGCCCCCUAAUCUACAGCCUGCCUUCCACUGCAGUGAAUGACUUAAUCUAGUGUCUUUACAAAACCAUGCCAGCUGAGUACCUUUCCAUAAACAACCCAAAUAGAGUGUCAACCAUAAAUGCCCAUCCCAUAACCAUAACUAACACCAGUAGAGUCUCCACCAUAAUCAGAGUAUCCCUAUAACCACAAGGGGAGAGGCCCUAUGUAUGCCCUACCUAUAUAAACAGUGGCAGCUAAGUAUCCAUUAAACAAGCUCUUGUAUUCUUACACAUAUUUGGAUUGUAAUGUGUGGAUUUCAAGUAUAUAAAAAUUGUACUGUAUUUUACAGGGUAUUUUUGUAGUUAGAGAAAUGCUCAGAACCAUGUUAAAUGAGAGAAAAAAAUGAAAUCUCAGGAUUACAAACAGAUUUUUGGGUCGCACUGUACAGCCCAGUGUCAGAAAGCUGAGUUUGCACCCAAGGUCUUGGGUCUUCCAGCAGGAAAAGUACCCCAAACAUACAUCAAAAAGCACCCGAAAUGAAUUGCUGUGGGGACCUGGAGCAGUUUGCAAAGGAAGAGUGGUCCAACAUUCCGGCUGAGAGGUGAAAGAAGCUUAUUGAUGGUUAUAGGAAGCGACUGAUUUCAGUUAUUUUUUCCAAAGGGUGUGCAACCAAAUAUUAAGUUAAGGGUGCCAAUAAUUUUGUCCAGGCCAUUUUUGGAGUUUGCUGGGACAUUAUGUCCAAUUUGCUUUUUUUCCUCCCUUUUUUGGUUUAGUUCCGAUACACACAAAGGGAAUAAACAUGUGUAUAGCAAAACAUGUGAUACUGCAAUCCUUUUCUGUGAGAAAUAUUUCAUUUUCUUGAAAAAAUUUCAGGGGUGCCAACAUUUACGGCCAUGACUGUAGUUUGUAUUAUUAUUAUUACACACAUUAUUGUUUGUAAACAUGGUGUGAUUUCCCAUUUACUGUGAUAAACUGACAUACAUAACCAUACACAAAUACACACAGACACACACGCAUACAUUUGUAAAAAGUAUGAAAUGUUUAGUGCUACCCAUGCUACUGAUGGGAAAACUGACUUUAACAAAUGAUGUGGAAUGCUGUGGAUUAGGCACUCUGCAUGGAUCAGUGUUUAUUUUACUUGUACCACCCAUGUAUACCGGUUAACUACACUGGACUGAGGGGUGUUAAAUAUGAGCAAGGAAUGUGGACUGCACUAUGGGGAUAUCGAUCACGUAAACACACAUUCUUCUUUAGUGAUAAUUUAGCAGUAGUCAGACAAAUAUAAAAAUACCAUAAGCAUGUCAUUGAGGCUGACCUUGAAUCUAUGUGCUAUGAUGAGCUCUAUGAAUUUCAUUAUGCAUCUUGAAUGAAAAAGCAUACCCAUUGUCAUAAGGGCAUAAUACAUGCUGGUGGGUGGAGGGUGGGGGGGGGGGGGUUGACUUUCUUGGCAACUGUCCCACCGUGUGAGCAGUAGUAUCUCUCCAUGCCUAAAGUCAGGUUGGGUAAACAAGAAAUGCUCCCCACAACCCCUUUAAGGAUAUAAGCAUUAACCAUGCAAAUACCACUGUGGAAGCCACAGCCAGUGGUGAUCUGCAUGGGGACUCUAGAGCCAUUCCCUCUAGUCGAGACGUACCCUUAUUAGUCAUAUGGCUUCUAGAUUUUAGAUGUUAGAUACACUUACUGUAUCUGCACUUCAGACUGCAAAGCUGCAUUUUUACUUUCAGUUUUGUAUAAGAACCUUUUUAUAUACUUUAUUAUCUUACUAGUUAGCUUGAUUUCCACACUUAACUUCUUCUGCCAUGGCUUGAUGAGGUCAGCUUAUUUUUGUUUGUACUCUGUAAUGUACUCUGUAUGGUGGUGGUUCCUUUUUUAAUUCUAAGUGCCUAUGUUUCUUUCUAUCAUUUCAAUAAAAGCAUACACUUUUUCAUAAUCAAUAUCACAGGUCCCCAAUGCCUCACACACUGUCCCAAGAACCUUGCAGGUGAGAAAAACAGUGUUCUGAUGCAAGCGACUGGUAUCCAGUCACAGGAAAGUAGCUGGGGCAACUCUAGUCACACCCACCACACCCUCCUCCUAAACAGCCUCAAUGCAGGUUUUGUUUAGGUGUUAUAUAUAUAUUUAUAUUACUUUCCUAUGCAAGUGGAAUAUCACUUGGUAUUUAAGCAGUGUCGUGCAUAUUUUUUUCACUUUAAAAUAAUAUACUUGUAAAUUAUGAAACUGCCAUCACCUUUUGAGGUUUAUAUAAUGCCUUAAAUUUAAAAAUUAAAGAAUAAUUUCUUCACAAUGACCUCAACGGAAAACACUAACUCGACUAUUAAAUAACUUUAAUAAAAAUGACCGAUCCCUAAUAUAUAGUGAAACACCUUCAUUAUCUCUUAUCAGAUAAUAACACGAAAACUCGGGGUUGAUUCAAAUUUCCAUGGGACGUUUCUAUCAGCAGGCUAAAGGCUAUAAAUUACAGACCUAUAUAACUUAAUGGGAUACAGAUAUCCAAUAGCUGUAAAAUAGCUUGAAUUCUGCUAAAAUGCUCAUUGUUUAUAGCACAGAGCAGCAGAAAAGUUAAUCUAACAAGAUUCCUUCAAUCUAGAACUAAUAGGACCUGAAAGAUGUGGGAUAUACAUAUAUUUGAUAGUCAGUCAUGAAAACAUAUAUGAAACCUAAACCUAUUUUUAAGACACCCCACCCCGAAGGCUACAUAAUAGACCGCAGAAAUAAAACAAGCCACUAUAACAAAUGGUUGUUGUCCUCCACACUAAAAUUUUAGAUUAUUUUGAAUUUCGUGUAGCUCUUUGCAGAGCUUCUAGACCAAAUAUGGGAUUACAUUUCUUUUUUAGCACAGAAAUUAUGUAAUACCAGCAUUUUUAACAAGAUGAAUCUAAAACUACAAAAUAUUAUGUACUUGUAUACUUUAGUAGGUUUAUGGGCCUCAUUAACUAAGAGUGUUGGGUUUUUACU